GAUGAACGCUGGCGGCGUGCCUAAUACAUGCAAGUCGAGCGAAUGGAUUAAGAGCUUGCUCUUAUGAAGUUAGCGGCGGACGGGUGAGUAACACGUGGGUAACCUGCCCAUAAGACUGGGAUAACUCCGGGAAACCGGGGCUAAUACCGGAUAACAUUUUGAACCGCAUGGUUCGAAAUUGAAAGGCGGCUUCGGCUGUCACUUAUGGAUGGACCCGCGUCGCAUUAGCUAGUUGGUGAGGUAACGGCUCACCAAGGCAACGAUGCGUAGCCGACCUGAGAGGGUGAUCGGCCACACUGGGACUGCGACACGGCCCAGACUCCUACGGGAGGCAGCAGUAGGGAAUCUUCCGCAAUGGACGAAAGUCUGACGGAGCAACGCCGCGUGAGUGAUGAAGGCUUUCGGGUCGUAAAACUCUGUUGUAAGGGAAGAACAAGUGCCGCAGGCAAUGGCGGCACCUUGACGGUACCUUGCGAGAAAGCCACGGCUAACUACGUGCCAGCCGCCGCCGUAA
rnacentral:rRNA from 1 species